UCAACAACUUGGCUUGGAAGGGCAUAUCCUAAAGACUCACACAAUUAUAUAAUUAUAUAUUACAUACCUCUGCAUUUUGUAAAGUUGUGUGCCCACAGAACUAAGGGUGACUUGGUGUAAGUAACGUGAGGCAGAGCAGCGUUUUCCAUUGGAUGCUGGAAUUGACUAAGAAUCCUCAGUCUGCCCUUCUCUUCGAAUGCAAACUUGCUCUCCUUCACUCCAUUCAGUUGUAAUUCUGGAGGUGGAACUAAUUCAGCAACAGAGUUGGCUCAGCAAAAUCUGCCAGUCAGGGCAAAUUACACGAGUGAUUCUGUGGAGGCUGAAGCGGGAUCGCUGAACUCAUUGUCACGCGUGGCUAAACAGAGAACUGAGCCUUGUGAAAGCUCUGUGAUAGAUGGACCCACAGUCUGAUCCAACACUGAAGUUUCUACAUAACUUUCUUACACCAAAGUCAGGGUUAAAUAAAUGAAGUUAUUAACUGCUACAAUACAUUUGUAACUUUCAAGCUCCCCAAGUAAUCAUAAUGUUACAGCAAGUUAGGGCUGGAAGAGGCCUUAAGAGUCAACUAAUCCAUCCCCUGUUCCAUGGUUAGCAAAAUCAAUUACGUUCAUGUCUUUACAGACAAAUUUGUCUAUCCUGUUCCCACAGCUUUCAGUGAUGGAGACUCAACAGCUUCCAUAAGCAAUCUAUUUAAAGUCUCACUAUUCAUACUAUGAGAAAGAUUUUUUUUUUCCUGUCUAACUGGAAUCUAAUCAGCUGUUGUUUGCUGUAAACCAUUAGUUAACUGCAAGUCUGAGCUAAGAUGAGAGGCGUCCUAGACUUCUGAUGAAUGUUGUCUAGUGACUUUAGUGACUCUGGAAAUAGCCUGGAAGCAGGGCUGGUUUUCAAUAGCGCUAUCAGUUCGUUGUACUUUGCUUAACAUGACCAAUUAGGAUCCUUUUAGGGAUUUUCAGGUUAUUUUAAUGUCUUAUCUCUUUAGCAUUUUUUUGGCCUCAGGGAAUCAGAAAGCGUGCUUUCUAAACGCAACGUGCUUUGACUUCAGGGAGGGCGAGUUGAAAGGGGUGUCUUCAGAAAGAGCAGGACAAAAAGUGUUUGGUUGUUUGCUUUUUCAAGAUGACUAAAAACCGGCAUGUAGUAUUUUAUUUAUUGUUUUUUCUUCUUCUUAGUUUUUUUGCUGUGGCAUCUAAAUGCUGGUUUUGCCAAUAAAUUUACUGAAUUAUGUGUGCUUGAGAUUAAAUGUCUGAACCAUCUUAUGUGAUUUUAUUCAUUUCACUUAAGCUCUUCUUCUUGCCGGUGAUCACUAAUUCUGUUCCUCAUUUUCUAUGUACCAGACUUGAAAAGGGGCUUUUGAUUAACAGAAAUGCUAGGCACCUGCAAAUCCUGCUGAAUUGAUGUGGGCUGAUCUCAUGAUACGUGGCGUACCUUAAGUUGUCUAAAAUACAACUUGAAAAAAAAAUCAGCUCAGAUUAGGUAUUUUAGCAAAAGAUUUAAGCUUGGUUUCUUUGUUUCAGUUUCCAGUUUCUAACAUGAAUGAGAGCACUAUCCUCUCACUUGCCAUAAACUGUGAAAAAUAGUUUAUUGGUACGUGAAGCACUCAGGAGUCAUAGUGGUGGUCAUUCCACGGAAACGAAUGUCUAGGAACAGGGGUUUGAAUUAGUAAAUAGACGUGAGGUCAUAUGCAGUACAAGAAGGAAAAAAUGUAUUAAAUAGCUGUUCACUGGUGAGCACUGACAAUUCUGUGUACAGAAUGAAGCAAACAUCCUGUGGAAAAAUAGUUUGUGAGGGUGUAUUUGAAGACUUCAUCAUGCAAUGGAUUACACAAGGAAGCCAAAUAAAGAUUGCACAAGUGCUUUGAUUUUGGUGGUUUUAAAUUCGUUGACUGCAAAGCUUUAACCUCACUGACAUGCUUUUAAUCCAAGUCUUCAUGUGUGCUAAAUACACGUGUUGGUAGAUUGUCAACGACGGCAGACUCAGAAAGACAAUGGCAAUAGUAGUGGGCACUUUGGAAUGAGGGGGAAUACAGAGCGUGUCUCUUGCUUGAAGGCUGAACUUACAUCAGUCCUACAAAAAAAAAACCCA